CUUGCUUCUUGGGGUUGUAGGACACUCUAUACGGAGUUACAAAAGAAAGUUAUAAAUGAAGCGGUCUGGAAAGGCCCGCCAAAGACGGUAACAGCCCGGUAGUUGAAAUGGCUUUCCCUCCAGAGUGGAUCCUGAGUACGGCGGAACACGUGAAAUUCCGUCGGAAUCCGGGAGGACCAUCUCCCAAGGCUAAAUACUCCCUAGUGACCGAUAGUGAACCAGUACCGUGAGGGAAAGGUGAAAAGCACCCCGGAAGGGGAGUGAAACAGUUCCUGAAACCGUGUGCCUACAAGUAGUUAGAGCCCGUUAAUGGGUGAUAGCGUGCCUUUUGUAGAAUGAACCGGCGAGUUACGAUUUGUUGCAAGGUUAAGCGGAAAAAGCGGAGCCGUAGCGAAAGCGAGUCUGAAUAGGGCGCAUAAGUAACAGGUCGUAGACCCGAAACCAGGUGAUCUACCCAUGUCCAGGAUGAAGGUAAGGUAAUACUUACUGGAGGUCCGAACCCACGCACGUUGAAAAGUGCGGGGAUGAGGUGUGGGUAGCGGAGAAAUUCCAAUCGAACUUGGAGAUAGCUGGUUCUCUCCGAAAUAGCUUUAGGGCUAGCCUCGAGGUAAAGAGUCAUGGAGGUAGAGCACUGUUUGGACUAGGGGCCCUUCUCGGGUUACCGAAUUCAGAUAAACUCCGAAUGCCAUGUACUUAUACUCGGGAGUCAGACUGCGAGUGAUAAGAUCCGUAGUCGAAAGGGAAACAGCCCAGACCACCAGUUAAGGUCCCCAAAUAUAUGUUAAGUGGAAAAGGAUGUGGGGUUGCUUAGACAACCAGGAUGUUGGCUUAGAAGCAGCCACCAUUGAAAGAGUGCGUAAUAGCUCACUGGUCGAGUGACCCCGCGCCGAAAAUGUACCGGGGCUAAACAUAUUAC
rnacentral:rRNA from 1 species